AAAAGCUCAAAUUUGAAAUCUAGUACCUUCGGUGCUCGAGUUGUAAUUUGAAGAUAGUUUUCUGGUGCUGGCCCUUGUCUAUGUUCCUUGGAACAGGACGUCAUAGAGGGUGAGAAUCCCGUCUGAUGGGGUGUCCAGUGCUUUGUAGAUUUCUAUCGAAGAGUCGAGUUGUUUGGGAAUGCAGCUCUAAGUGGGUGGUAAAUUCCAUCUAAAGCUAAAUACUGGCGAGAGACCGAUAGCGAACAAGUACAGUGAUGGAAAGAUGAAAAGAACUUUGAAAAGAGAGUGAAAAAGUACGUGAAAUUGUUGAAAGGGAAGGGUAUUGGAUCAGACUUGGUGUUUUGUGAUUAUCUUCCCUUCUUGGGUUGUGCACUCGCAUUUCACUGGGCCAGCAUCGGUUCGGAUGGCAAGAUAAUGGCUUGGGAACGUGGCACUCUUCGGAGUGUGUUAUAUCCCUUGUUGAUGUUGCCUAUCUGGACCGAGGACUGCGGCUUCUGCCUAGGAUGCUGGCGUAAUGAUUCAAUACC
rnacentral:rRNA from 1 species